ACGCGAAGAACCUUACCUGGUCUUGACAUCCACAGAACUUUCCAGAGAUGGAUUGGUGCCUUCGGGAACUGUGAGACAGGUGCUGCAUGGCUGUCGUCAGCUCGUGUUGUGAAAUGUUGGGUUAAGUCCCGCAACGAGCGCAACCCUUAUCCUUUGUUGCCAGCGGUUCGGCCGGGAACUCAAAGGAGACUGCCAGUGAUAAACUGGAGGAAGGUGGGGAUGACGUCAAGUCAUCAUGGCCCUUACGACCAGGGCUACACACGUGCUACAAUGGCAUAUACAAAGAGAAGCGACCUCGCGAGAGCAAGCGGACCUCAUAAAGUAUGUCGUAGUCCGGAUUGGAGUCUGCAACUCGACUCCAUGAAGUCGGAAUCGCUAGUAAUCGUAGAUCAGAA
rnacentral:rRNA from 1 species